AUACGUAGGGGGCGAGCGUUGUCCGGAAUUACUGGGCGUAAAGGGUGCGUAGGCGGCUGUUUAAGUCAGAUGUGAAAUACCACGGCUUAACCGUGGGGGUGCAUUUGAAACUGGAUGGCUUGAGUGCAGGAGAGGAAAGUGGAAUUCCUAGUGUAGCGGUGAAAUGCGUAGAGAUUAGGAGGAACACCAGUGGCGAAGGCGGCUUUCUGGACUGUAACUGACGCUGAGGCACGAAAGCGUGGGGAGCGAACAGGAUUAGAUACCCUGGUAGUCCACGCUGUAAACGAUGGAUACUAGGUGUAGGGGGUAUCGACCCCCUCUGUGCCGGAGUUAACGCAAUAAGUAUCCCGCCUGGGGAGUACGGCCGCAAGGUUGAA
rnacentral:rRNA from 1 species